AACAGUCCGAAAGGAUUGCUAAUACCCCAUGUGGUCAUUUGGAUUAGAUGCCUUAUGACUAAACGGAUUUAUUCGCUUCGGGAGGGGCCUGCGUCCCAUCAGCUAGUUGGUGAGGUAAUAGCUUACCAAGGCGAUGACGGGUAGGGGACCUGAGAGGGUGGCCCCCCACAAUGGAACUGAAACACGGUCCAUACACCUACGGGUGGCAGCAGUAGGGAAUAUUGGUAAUCUGGGAAACCGGGAACCAGCAACGCCGCGUGCGCGAUGAAGGCCUUCGGGUUGUAAAGCGCUUUUUAAAGGGAUGAGGAAGGACAGUACCUUUAGAAUAAGCCUCGGCUAACUACGUGCCAGCAGCCGCGGUAAAACGUAGGAGGCGAGCGUUAUCCGGAUUUACUGGGCGUAAAGCGUGUGUAGGCGGUUUGAUGAGUUGGAUGUGAAAGCUCCCGGCUUAACUGGGAGAGGUCGUUCAAAACUGUCAGACUUGAGAGUGGUAGAGGGAGAUGGAAUUCCGCGUGUAGUGGUGAAAUGCGUAGAUAUGCGGAGGAACACCAGUGGCGAAAGCGGUCUCCUGGCCCACUUCUGACGCUCAGACACGAAAGCUAAGGUAGCAAACGGGAUUAGAGACCCCGGUAGUCUUAGCUGUAAACGAUG
rnacentral:rRNA from 1 species